rnacentral:rRNA from 1 species
UGCCAGCAGCCGCGGUAAUACGGAGGGUGCAAGCGUUAAUCGGAAUUACUGGGCGUAAAGCGCGCGUAGGCGGUUUGUUAAGCGAGAUGUGAAAUCCCCGGGCUCAACCUGGGAACUGCAUUUCGAACUGGCAAGCUAGAGUGUAGAAGAGGGGUGUGGAAUUUCCGGUGUAGCGGUGAAAUGCGUAGAGAUCGGAAGGAACAUCAGUGGCGAAGGCGACACCCUGGUCUAACACUGACGCUGAGGUGCGAAAGCGUGGGUAGCAAACAGGAUUAGAUA